GCCUGGCUGGCUCAGUCAGUGGAGCGUGGGACUCUUGAUCUCAGAGUCGUGGGCUCGAGCCCCACGUUGAAUG
rnacentral:tRNA from 1 species